rnacentral:rRNA from 1 species
AUUGAACGCUGGCGGUAUGCUUUACACAUGCAAGUCGAACGGCAGCACGGGAGCAAUCCUGGUGGCGAGUGGCGAACGGGUGAGUAAUAUAUCGGAACGUGUCCAGUAGUGGGGGAUAGCCCGGCGAAAGCCGGAUUAAUACCGCAUACGACCUACGGGUGAAAGCGGGGGAUCGCAAGACCUCGCGCUAUUGGAGCGGCCGAUAUCAGAUUAGGUAGUUGGUGGGGUAAAAGCCUACCAAGCCUGCGAUCUGUAGCUGGUCUGAGAGGACGACCAGCCACACGGGGAAUGAGACACGGCCCAGACUCCUACGGGAGGCAGCAGUGGGGAAUUUUGGACAAUGGGGGCAACCCUGAUCCAGCCAUACCGCGUGCAGGAAGAAGGCCUUCGGGUUGUAAACUGCUUUUGUCAGAGAAGAAAUCUUUUGGGCUAAUACCUCGGAAGGAUGACGGCAUCUGAAGAAUAAGCACCGGCUAACUACGUGCCAGCCGCCGCGGUAACAC